rnacentral:piRNA from 1 species
UGGAAAUAGAAGCAGCUCAGUGGU